rnacentral:tRNA from 1 species
CAAAGUAAAGCUAAAGAUUAGUAUUUCACUUACGUUGAAAAGGUUGUCGCAGGGGCGAUUUAUUUUGG